AUACGUAGGGGGCAAGCGUUGUCCGGAUUUACUGGGCGUAAAGGGCGUGUAGGCGGUUUUUUAAGUCAGGUGUGAAAGUUCGGGGCUUAACCCCGGAAUUGCAUUUGAAACUGGAGAACUUGAGUACUGGAGAGGUAAGCGGAAUUCCUAGUGUAGCGGUGAAAUGCGUAGAUAUUAGGAGGAACACCAGUGGCGAAGGCGACUUACUGGACAGAUACUGACGCUGAGGCGCGAAAGCGUGGGGAGCGAACAGGAUUAGAUACCCUGGUAGUCCACGCCGUAAACGAUGAGUGCUAGGUGUUGGGGCAACUCAGUGCCGUAGUUAACACAAUAAGCACUCCGCCUGGGGAGUACGGUCGCAAGACUGAAACUUAAAGGAAUUGACGGGG
rnacentral:rRNA from 1 species